AAGUUUGUGAUUUCCAGAGAUGUUAUCUUUGAUGAAGCAGGUUCAUGGAAAUGGGGAAAAAAAUCAAGAAAAUCAAUAAAAUAACAAAAACCUUCUUCAAUAUAAAGUUUUAUCUCCAUUCCAAUUCUCUACAUUUCCUAAACUCUUUUCUUCUCAUUCUAAAUAUUACUUUCCUUCUCCAACAAAUUUAACAUGGACAGAUUCUAUGAUGUUACAGAAGUAAUGAAAAGAGGGAGAUGUACAGUCCUGCUUACUGUGAAUUAAAUAUAUCAACUUGAUGCAUAUCAUGAUUUACUAGAUGCGUUAAGAAUGAACAUGGAAUAGCAUUUCCUUAUCAGUCUUGCACAACCCUCCCCAACAUAGCAAUAGUAGAGACUGUUGGAGAAGGAGAGUAAUAUUUAGAAUGAGAAGGAAAGAGUUUAGGAAAUGUAGAGAAU
rnacentral:lncRNA from 1 species